CACUUCUAAGGAAGGCAGCAGGCGCGCAAAUUACCCAAUCCUGACUCAGGGAGGUAGUGACAAGAAAUAACAAUAAACCGGCUUAUGCCGGUUUAAUUGGAAUGAGUACAAUUUAAACAUCUUAACGAGGAACAAUUGGAGGGCAAGUCUGGUGCCAGCAGCCGCGGUAAUUCCAGCUCCAAUAGCGUAUACUAAAGUUGUUGCAGUUAAAAAGCUCGUAGUUGGAUUUCUGUGGGGACGGAGCGGCCGGCCGCACACCGCGGUUCGAGCUAGCGCUUUCCCUACAUCCUGCCGCGAACCGUGCUACCAUUAAUUUGGUGGCGCCGGGGAUCGGCUCGAUUAUUUUGAGAAAAAUAGAGUGUUCAAAGCAGGCCACAUGCCUUGAAUAAGUUAGCAUGGAAUAAUAACUAAGGACUUCGGUUCUAUUUUGUUGGUGUUCGGGACUGAAGUAAUGAUUGAUAGGGACAGUUGGGGCGGUCUGUAUUCCAAAGCGAGAGGUGAAAUUCUUAGACCUUCGGAAGACAAACAGCUGCGAAAGCGUUCCGCAAGGAUGUUCCCUUUGAUCAAGAACGAAAGUUGGGGGAUCGAAGACGAUCAGAUACCGUCGUAGUCUCAACUAUAAACUAUACCAGCUAGGGAUCGGCCAACGUUAUUUUAUACCGACUUGGUCGGCACCUUAUGAGAAAUCAAAGCAUCUGGGUUCCGGGGGGAGUAUGGUCGCAAGGCUGAAACUUAAAGGAAUUGACGGAAGGGCACCACCAGCCGUGGAGCCUGUGGCAUAAUUUGACUCAACACGGGAAAACUUACCAGGUCCAGACAUAGUAAGGAUUGACAGAUUGAUAGCUCUUUCUUGAUUCUGUGGGUGGUGGUGCAUGGCCGUUCUUAGUUGGUGGAGUGAUUUGUCUGGUUAAUUCCGUUAACGAACGAGACCCCGGCCUGCUAAAUAGCGCGCGUGAGCUUUGCUCGCGGCGAGCUUCUUAGAGGGACUCUGAUGCGCGAUAGCACAUGGAAGUUUGGGGCAAUAACAGGUCUGUGAUGCCCUUAGAUGUUCUGGGCCGCACACGGGCUACACUGGCGCCUGCAACGAGCAUAUCAGCUGGCCCGAGAGGGUCUUGGCUAAUCUUUUGAACCGGCGCCGUGCUUGGGAUUGACCUUUGCAAUUGUUGGUCAUGCAACGAGGAAUGCCUUGUAAACGCGAGUCAUCAGCUCGCAUUGAAUACGUCCCUGCCCUUUGUACACACCGCCCGUCGCUCCUACCGAUGAAUGUUCCGAUGAAAUUUUCGGAGAGCACCUGUGAACUUGGCUCCGCCUUGCGAACGGGAGGCUCAAAGUCACUUAAAUCUGAACAUUUCGAGG
rnacentral:rRNA from 1 species